AAAAAAUGUUUAACAAAACAGCCUCGCGCCGACAUCGUCGUUUGCCCAAAGCGAACGAUGACGAAGCGCACGUUGGCCCACAUUUUUGUGCACCGUUCCGUCUUUGGUGGUGGUGGUGAGCGGCUUCCUUUGGCGGCCCUCGCCUGUCAGCUCGGACCUGCAACGGGUCCGGAGCCGUGGACAAGCCACCGCCCUUUUCUUCAAAACCUUUGCUUUGCUUUUUUUUUCUGUCUGACACUUUUUAUUUUGUAUGAAUGUACAAA
rnacentral:misc_RNA from 1 species